rnacentral:rRNA from 1 species
AUUGAACGCUGGCGGCAGGCCUAACACAUGCAAGUCGAGCGGAUGAAGGGAGCUUGCUCCUGGAUUCAGCGGCGGACGGGUGAGUAAUGCCUAGGAAUCUGCCUGGUAGUGGGGGAUAACGUCCGGAAACGGGCGCUAAUACCGCGUACGUCCUGAGGGAGAAAGUGGGGGAUCUUCGGACCUCACGCUAUCAGAUGAGCCUAGGUCGGAUUAGCUAGUUGGUGGGGUAAAGGCCUACCAAGGCGACGAUCCGUAACUGGUCUGAGAGGAUGAUCAGUCACACUGGAACUGAGACACGGUCCAGACUCCUACGGGAGGCAGCAGUGGGGAAUAUUGGACAAUGGGCGAAAGCCUGAUCCAGCCAUGCCGCGUGUGUGAAGAAGGUCUUCGGAUUGUAAAGCACUUUAAGUUGGGAGGAAGGGCAGUAAGUUAAUACCUUGCUGUUUUGACGUUACCAACAGAAUAAGCACCGGCUAACUUUGUG